CAUAUGGAGGUUCCCAGGCUAGGGGAUCAAAUCCGAGUUGUAGCCGACAGCCUACACCACGGCCACAGCCACACCAGAUCCGAGCCGCGUCUGCGACCUAUAUCACAGCUCACAGCAACGCCGGAUCCUUCACCCACUGAGUGAGGCCAGGGAUCGAACCCGCACCCUCACGGUUCCCAGUCGGAUUCGUUUCCCCUGCACCAUGAUGGGAACUCCCGGAGACACUUUUAACAAGAAUUUUCAUUGAUGGGUAGUUGAUGUACUGUGUUGUGCUAAUUUGUGCUGGGCGGUGGUUCGGGUAUACAUAGAGAUACAUUCUGUUUCCUAUUCUGUUCUGUUAGGGUUUGUCACAGGUUGAAUAUAGAGAGCUCCCUGGGCUGGGCAGUGGGACCUUGUUGAACUUUUUUGUUGUUGUUGUUGUCGUUUUUUAAAGUUUCAUUGUGGUGGACUUCAUGUGCAGCGUUGGGAUCCUUUCUGCUGUGUAGCAAAGUGACUCAGGCAUCCGUGUUCACAUAUCCGCUCUCGCUCAGAUUCUUUUCCCACAGAGAUGAUCAGAGAAUAUUGGGCGGAGUUCUCUGUGCCAACAGCAGUUCCCCGUUAGCCCGUCAUUCCAUAGACCUGAGGGUGCACGUGCCAACCCCGCACCCCCCAUCCAUCCCUGCCCCCACCUGUCCCCUUUGGUCACCGAAAGAUUGUUUUCAAAGUCUGUGAGUCUUUCUGUCCUGCCAAUAAGGUCAUUGCUGUCCUUUUUUCUAGAUUCCACGUGUAAGUGAUAUCAUGUGAUGUUUACCUUUCUCUUUCUGACUUACGUAGUGUGACAAUCUCUAGGUCCAUCCAUACUGCUGCUGAUGGCAUGAUUUUGUUCUUUUUCAUGGCUGCAUUGUAUUCCGUUGUAUGUAUGUACCAUGCCUACACGUCCAUCAGCAGAGGACUGGAUAAAGAUGUGGCACAUAUACUUUAUGGAAUACAUCUCAGCUGUAAAAAAGAAUGAUGGAAGGUAACAUAAGAAAGGGAAUGUGUGUGUGUGUAUCUGACUGUUACUUUGCAAUGUAGCAGAAAUUAGCAUAUUGUAAAUCAACUCUAAUAAAAUUUUUUUUAAAAUAAAAUUCUUCUACCACCACCACCAACAAAGAGUGAAAUCAUGCCAUUUGCAGCAACAUGGAUAGACCUGGAAAUAAACUAUUUGUUUUUUUUAGAGCCACAUCUGCUGUGUAUGGGAGUUCCCAGGCUAGGAGUCAAAUUGAGCUCCGGCUGCCAGCCUACACCACAGCCACAGCACCACCAGAUCCGAGCCACAUCUGCGACCUCCACCACAGCUCACAGCAGUGCCGGAUCCUUAACCCACUGAGCGAGGCCAGGGAUUGCACAUGCAACUUCAUGGGUGCGGCUCUAAAAAAAAAAAAUUAAUAAAAAAUAAGGGCGUGGCUUGAGCCCAGUGCCAGCUCAGCUUUUCUGUCUCCCUGGGGGGCACUUGUGGGAAAGCCACUGGUCUCCCUUCUUCCUCCUGAGUCAGAAUUUGUGUGCGGGCUCUUUAAAGCCACUGCCUCAGAGAAAGCAGUGGAAAAAAAAAAAGACUCCACAAAAGGCAGAAUUUUUACAGUGAUGUCAUUUCAGUAGUGGGAAGGACCAGAGGUUAAUUUGGCCCUCGGAGACCUGAAUUUUGGCUCUUCUGGUCAACUGCACAUAUUUCUGUGGGGCUGGAAAAUCAUGACCCAGAUGCCCAAAGGCCGGAGACAGGGCACCGGCCUCGUUCCUGAGCCCUGUCACCCCCACCCCCGUCCCCGGAACACACGCUCACGGCCUGUCUUCUGGGACCUGUGCUCUUUCUCUCCCGACCCUAACGGGGUCGCCCUGUGACCCAUUAGGGGGAGCGAUGCGGCUUUCAGAAUAUCACCUGGGAAAGACUUGGGGCUGCAGCCGAGACCCCCUAAUUCUGACUUUGCAAACCUUUGCUGGGGUCCUGGUGAGAAGUCCGGCUGGUGUAUUUGGCAGAAAACAUCCAGAACUCACUAUCUGUCUUUCUGUCUGUCUCUCUUCUUCCUUCCCUCCUUCCUUCUCUCUUUCUCUCUCCCUCCCCCACAGCCCUGGGUCCUGCUUAGCCAUUGAAACCCCCCGAAGUCCCCAGGGUGUCUGUCUGUCUCACAUCGAAUCCCAUUCUUCCCCCACGUGCACCUGGACUCGGGUUACUGACCUCACGAGCCAGGCCGGGCUCAGAAGGAAGCUGUAGCUCUCUGUCCCUUGACGUCUGAAUUUAAAGCUUGACACCUCCCCCCCCCUUUGGGAGGCUUUAUCUGCAUGUGUGCCCCAUACACCCUGGGGUCCUGCAGGCCAUGAGGGCAGGCAAGCGCUCUGCUCUCCAGCCCUGUCCCCCAGUCCCUGCGAAUCUGUACUCUGACCAAAGUCGCUCCAGCAUGUUUUAGUUUUGGUUUGGUUUGGGGGUGUUUUUUUCCCCCCCCUUUUUUUUUUUUACAACUGCUGGGUCCACAUUGCCCGGGCCGCUGCCUGCGGCGGGGACUGUUUGGCGACCUGCUCAGGGAUGCGGUUGCGUGGAUGUGCCUUCCUGACGGUGGUGGAAGGUCCUUGUCAGCGGUCGGCCGCGGGGGGCAGGCAGCCGGCCCGCGGGAGCCUUGCCCAGGUCCCACUGCCCCCUGGAGGGACGGAUGGACAGAUGGGCGCCGCCCUGGAUGCAGGGAGCAUCCUCUCGUCAGAGGGAGAGGAGAUGCUGCUGGGGUUCCGCACGCCUCCUCCCCCGCCCCCGAGCACAGCUGGAGGUGUUGGGGCUCCAGACCUGAGUGUGGCCUGGGCGCUGGGGGGGCCCUGGCGUGCUUAGCCCUCUCCCUGUGCCUCCGUCCCCCGCUUUCGAUGCCCUGUGACUCCUCCCUGGCAUUUUUCUCUUGGUUGUCACGGAAAAGAAUGAACGCCCUCUAGCGAGGGCCGCUUUCCGUCACCUGUCUCUCUGCCUGGCCGCCAGCUCUCCAUCUUUCUUGCGGUUUCUCCAUCAGUUCAUCCAUCCACCCAUCCACCCACCCGUCUUUCGCUAUAUCUCUGCCUCUCCAUCCAUCCUCUGUCCCUUGAUCUUCUGUCAUCUGUCAGUCAGUCUAUCCAUCCAUCCAACCCACCGUCUUUCUAUCUCUAUCCACCUGUCCGUCCAUCUUUCUUUCCUUCUAGUAUCUGUUUAUGUCUGUUGACCUCUGACGUCUAUCUUCAUCCUUCUGUCUAUCCAUCAUUUCUGUUUCUUUCUUUCUACCUGUUAUAUAUAUAUAUCUAUCUCUAUGACCGAUCUAUUGAUUAUCGAUCUAUUACCUAUAAAUCUGUUUCUUUGACCUCUCUAUUGAUCUGUCUCUCCCAUCUGCCUAUUACCUAUCUCUCCAUCCUGGGAGGUACAGCCUCCUAUUAAACUCUGUCAGGGUGACUCCCUGUCACUGUGCACGGACGCUGCACUGUCCUUUGCGGUGCUGGGGUGCGGUUCUAACUGAUGGGUGAGGUGCCCUGUAAUUGAGAGGAUGUCUCUGCAUUUUGCACAACACAAACCAUGCUUUAUAUCAAAUAGCAUGCAUGGGUAUACAGGUGUGGGUGCAUCUGUGCACAUAUGAGGAUGUGUGUUUGCAGUCUGGGGUGUGUCUCUGGGGUGUGUGUGUGUCUCUGUGCUGUAGGUUUUCAUGUCUUGUGAGCUUGUACAUUUCUUUGCUUUUUUGGUUUUGUUUCUGAAUCACCUAUGCUUUGCUUCAUUUUUAGCGACUGGGGUUCUAGAAAAAGCCUUACUGCUUAUGCAGGGUUUUUUGUUUUGUUUUUUCCUUUUUUUUUUUUUUUUUUGGUGCUCAUUUAAGAUUCCCAAGAAGUUGCAAACGGGAGUUCCAGGAGUUCCCUGGUGGCUCAGUGGGUUAAGGAUCUGAUGUUGUCACUACUGUGCCAUGGGUUCAAUCCCUGUCCCCAGAACUUUUGCUUGCCUCAAAUACAGUCCGAAGAAGAAGAAAUUGCAAACAUAAUGAAUCCAACCUCCCCAGGUAACAGCGUUUUACACCAUAGCACAGUGUCCAAACUAGAAAUUUACUGCCCUAUCAAUUGCAAAUAUCUUUGAGUUCAUUUCAUUUCAAAAACUGAUAGAAGUAAUACAGACACAUAUAUUUUACUCAAAAUGUUGCUGUGCUUUUAUGUAGUGCUGCCUGGAUGGAAUAACAUACACAACAUCUUGCAAAAUUUUUAAUGUAACUGAAUUUACAUUUUCUGGCACUUGGGUAUCACUUAGGGUUUCAUCCCAGUUAUAGUAUGAUGCUGAACCUGGUUUCUGGUUUUAUUUAUUUUUAAUUCAAGACAUGAAACCCGUUGUCAGUUAUUGGUAUAUGGUGCAUCGUAGAGAUUGUUUUUUUUUAAUGGAGUGCUUUUCUGGAACUGUUGAUGGAAUAGCCUAUCUUUUCCCUGCUGUAUGAGGUCUCAACUCUCCCACAUUCUCGUUGCCCAAUGUAUUUCCCUUUUUGUUUCCAUCGGUCUUAUCUUUCACCUGCACCCAAAACAAAUCAGGGAGUUCCUGUCUCUUUGCUGGAAACACUGACACUCCAUGGGAGUCAUAUUUUGGAGCAAAAGCUGGCAAGAAGUCCUUAGAAACCCCCCUUUGCGAUUCUGUCCACGUCUGAACCUAGCCAGUAAUCCCCUUGCAGAGGGUGUGCUUGCGCUCGUAGGCUGUUGAUGUCAUAUAAAACUUGCAUUAACGUUAUUGUUUAUUAGCACCCAGUCCCGAUUUUGUUUUACAGUCCAUGUGUAAUGUUGGAACACACACCAGCAGAUGUCGAUCUGCAGUAUUUCUGUCACCUCUGAAAGCUGACAAGCAGAUGCUUGGAAGCACGUUCUUGUUCUUGUUCCCAGUUGUUCUCAACAGUAGGGGGUUGCCGUGUAUUCUGUUUCUAUGCUGAGAUGUAGAAUAGUCACAUUCUCAGAUUGUCUUUUCUGCUGUUUAACUGAAAGGUGUCAGUGGAAGUCAAUGAGCUCCUAAAAGUCCACAUAAGCCUCCUGGGUCUUCGCCUUUGUUUUCAGAACCUUUUGGUAGACGAGACUAUUUCCUUGAGACCUCCUGGGUUUUCUCUCCAUAUUUAUUUUUCCGUGGCUCCCCACCAUCACCAGCAUCCUGAUCUCACGGGGAAAACUAUUUCACAUCUUGCCAAGCAUGAAAAACCCCAUAAAUACUGGGCUGCCAUAAUCUUCUCAAGACCCAGCAUACAGAACUCUGCUGUAGGGGUGUGACCACACGCAGGUCCAGCUAGCUGCUUGCUGCUCAAAAGCUGGUACACACAAGGCAGGUGUUGGUAAAAAGGAAAGUUUGCUUUAUUCCAGAGGCCAGCACCCUGAUGAGAAGGUGGACUCAUGUCCAAAAGCCAACUCCCCAUUACUGACCAUGGGGCAAGAACUUUGAAAGGAGAAUUUCACGUAGGCUACAGAUGCAGCUUGGAUCCAGUGCUCCUGUGGCUCUGGUGUAGGCUGGCAGCUGCAGCUCCAAUUCAGCCCCUAGCCUGGGGUACCAUGGGUACAGCCCUAAAAAGAAAAAAAAUGGAGAGGGAGUUAGAGGAGUUCCCGUUGUGGCUUGAUGGGUUAAGAACCCAACAUAGUGUCCUUGAGGAUGCAGGUUUGAUCCCUGGCCUCGCUCAGUGGGUUAAGGAUCCAGUGUUGCCACAAGCUGCUGUGUAGGUCACAGAUGAAGCUCAGAUCCGGUGUUGUUGUGGCUGUGACAUGUGCCAGCAGUGGGAGCUCCAGUUCAACCCCUAAUCUGGCAACUUCCAUAUGCCACAGGUAUAGCCCUUAAAAAAAAGGUUGGGGGCUGUUUCAGCAGAGGGAAGUGGCUACGUGCAGAGCAGCACAGACAGCUCUGACCGUCCUCUUGAAAUUGGUCAUGGGGUCAUCUAACCAGCGUCAUCUUGAUUGUUUUAAGUACCAUUCAUCUUCAGUUCCAGGCUAAUGUUUUCCCAUUUCCUUGAGGCCAGUUCUCAGAAUUGUGGCAGCUGAUGUCACAGCUACAGUCUGGUUAUCAUGCAGUGAACUAUUCCACCUGCUGGGGGGUUUCAGUCUCUGGAAAACAGCUCACAGCGCAUGGCUCAGAGGAUGGUCUGUGCCCCUGGAGGAGGACCCAAAACUCCUUGACUUUAUUGAAUGACUCACCUGUUAUUAUGGGGUCUGGCCUGACGGCUUUCCUUUGCUUCUGCACUUUCUCAUGUCUCUGAUUAAAUGUAUCCUUUGGCUAAAGUUUUUCUACAGGCAAGAGGCAGGCAGAGGACAUUGGGGUUGGGGGGGAGGAGAGGGGAAGCCCUAGGAAGGACAUAGGGUCCUGCCUUGUUUCAGUGGUACAGAGGUUUCGAAGGUCUUACUGAGGUGGGGGUGGUAGACCAGUUGUCUGGGCUGAAAUAAGGCCCUGAUGUGUAGCUCUUGCCCAUGACAAUGGUGUAAAUACUUGAUUCUGACUGGACUGAUUUCAGGCUGUGGAUCUUUGAGCCGCUGGGGUGCAGAAUUCUUUAGAAUUUUCCAGUCCCCUUUGAAGAGCUGGAGGAGGCACCACCCGCCCCUUCGUGAUGCAGGAAGCCUGGGGGUGGGGCAGAAAUGUGACUCCCCCACCAGUUCUUUAUCUGUCCACCACCAGGGGUUUAACGUGGACCGUGGACGCAUGACUGGGAAACUAGAAAAAUGCCUCACUCUCCCCUUUCCUCCCCUACACUUCCUGCUUAUCGACAUCUUAAAAAUUAUUAUUAUUUUUUAUUUUAUGGCUGCACCCACAGCGCGUGGAAGUUCCCAGGCCACAGAUUGAAUCUGAGCCACAGACGCAGAAACAACCGAUCCUUUAACCAUUGCACCAGGCUGAAGAUGAAACGUGCACCUUGGGUCACUGCAGUCAGAUUCUUUUUUUUUUUUUUUUUUUUUUUUAUAAUUUUUUUUUUUUUCCAACUGUACAGCAAGGGGGUCAGGUUAUCCUUACAUGUAUGCAUUACAAUUACAUUUUUUCCCCCACCCUUUCUUCUGUUGCAACAUGAGUAUCUAGACAAAGUUCUCAAUGCUAUUCAGCAGGAUCUUCUUGUAAAUCUAUUCUAAGUUGUGUCUGAUAAGCCCGAGCUUCCGAUCCCUCCCACUCCCUCCCCCUCCCAUCGGGCAGCCACAGGUCUCUUUUCCAAGUCCAUGAUUUUCUUUUCUGAGGAGAUGUUCAUUUGUGCUAGAUAUUAGAUUCCAGUUAUAAGUGAUAUCAUAUGGUAUUUGUCUUUGUCUUUCUGGCUCAUUUCACUCAGUAUGAGAUUCUCUAGUUCCAUCCAUGUUGCUGCAAAUGGCAUUAUGUCAUUCUUUUUUAUGGCUGAGUAGUAUUCCAUUGUGUAUAUAUACCACAUCUUCCGAAUCCAAUCAUGCAGUCAGAUUCUGAACCCACUUGGCCACAGUGGGAACUCUGAGUAUUCAUCUUUUAAAUUUUGAUAGAGUUUGAGAAAUUCACAGAGAAUAUCCCUCCUGUUCUACUCAUGUGAUGGUUUAAGGGAAUGCCUUUCUGCAGAUCUUAGCUGCUGUACAUGCUAAUUUUUUUUUCCUUUUUCUUUUUUUCCUGUUUUUUUGCUAAUCAGGAGAAUAAAAUCUACUAUUUCCCAUUGAUGUGCAUUAAAAAAAAAUUCUGGAAUUCCCUUUGUGGCUCAGCGGGCUAGGGACUCAGUGUUGUGUCUGUGAGGAUGUUGGUUCGAUCCCUGGCCUUGCUCAGUGGGUUAAGGAUCCGGGGUUGCUGGAAGCUGUGGUGUAGGUUGCACGUGGGGCUCGGAUCUGGCAUGGCUGUGGCUGUGGUGUAGCUUCAGCUGCAAAUCCAAUUUGACCCUUAGCCUGGGAGCUUCCAUAGUGCCGAAGGUAUGGCUGUAAAAAGAAGAAAAAACAUUUCUUAGGUGAAUUCUUUGCUUUUCUUUUUAAUUUUUUUAAAUUUUUCUACAGAUUUUAAAGGUUAUACUUCAUUUACAGUUAUUACCAAACAUUGGCUCUAUUCCUUGUGUUGUAUCCUUGCAGCCUCUUAACCCCCAAAACUUUGUAUCUCUUCCUCCCUCCCACCUGCUACUCCUCCUUCCCUCUCCCCGCUGGGAACCACUCGUUUGUUCUUUAGAUCCCGUGAGCCUGCUGCUUUUUUUCUUAUAUUCACCAGUUCGUUGUAGUGUUUAGAUUCCAUGUGGGAUAUCACAGAGUCUUUGUCUUUGGUUUAUUUCAUGGAGCGUAAUACCGUUCGACUCAUUGGUGUGCUUUUUUUUUUUCCUUUUUAUAGCUGCACCUGCAGCAUAUGGAAGCUGCCAGGCUAGGGGUCAAAGUGGAGCUGCAUCUGCUAGUCUACACCACAGCCGCAGCUGCACAGGUUCCGAGUCACAUCUGUGACCUAUGUCCACAGCUUGGGGCCACGGUGCAUCUUUCCCCUGCUGAUCAAGACCACGGAUAGAACCCGCGUCCUCAUGGAGACUAUGUCAGGUCCUUAACUCACGGAGCUACAAUGGGAACUCCUGAUGUGCAUUUUUAAACGAACCACGUUGACCCCCUGUUCUGUGCAUUUAAAGGGGUGAACUAAUUUAUAUUCUCGGCCCCUUCUCUUACUUUUCUUUCUUUUUUUUAAACUUUCUUUUUUUUCUAUCUUGUUUUUAAACCAUUUUUUUCAUUGAAAUCGAAUUAUCUUAGUAAUUUCGGUUUGCAAAACAUAUGCUAAAGAGAAAAUCCCAUACUGUUCGGUUUUUGUUUUUUGGUUUUUGUUUUUCUCUGUUUUCUUUCCUCCUUUCUUUCCUUUUUCCCGUAUGGCUUGUGUUACCAAAUGUUAAUGAAAACUUCUCUGUAGUGGAAUCAGCACAUAGCUUGGUUUUUUUUCCUUCCUUUGUAUGAAAAGCGUAAGAAAUAAAAUAACCACCCACCCAAGGGAAAAAAACAAAAAAGGUCUGAGAAAUAGUCAUAAAAUGAGGGUGAGAUGUGACUAGAAACCAGAGUGCCCCCAGGAGACAGAAUUAAGUGGCCGGACUUUAAAAAAAAAAAACAAAAAAAAA
rnacentral:lncRNA from 9 species